rnacentral:misc_RNA from 1 species
UAGCCAAAGCAAAUAUACUUUAGGAAAAUAAAAAAAGGAACACUAGCCAAAAUCUCCUACAGUAGUCCACGAUCAUGCAGACUGGAAGGAGAUCCUUGGGGUGACUAAUAUAACUGUCAUCCCAUGCAUCUAAAAAAUCGGUAAAUGCAGAAGAGCUUCAAAAACAUAGCAAAAAUCCUUAGAAGCUCUUGUUUAUGGAAUCCCAUAACAAAGAUGCUGACUGAUCAGAUUACCUAACUAAUAAUGGAUGGAUACAUAUAUAUAAUUUUUCUAAUGUAGUCCUUAAUUAAUAAGGAAGCCAGAGAUACACUACUCGCUUGGUUUACUAGAGUCCUCAUGUUCUUGAUAAUCAGAACUAGAGGAGCUAUCGAACCAUGGCGAGAAUCUCAUCGGAUCUUGCUGUUGAAACUGAUGUUGUUGCUGCUGCUGCUGUGAUGAAAAAUUGGAUGGAUAAUGCGGCACAUAAGGCUGCUGCUGAUUAAAGAGAGUUGAAGUGUAAUAAG